UUGGUUAAGUUAGAAAGGGCGCACGGUGGAUGCCUUGGCACUAGGAGCCGAAGAAGGACGGGACUAACACCGAUAUGCUUUGGGGAGCUGUACGUAAGCGUUGAUCCAGAGAUUUCCGAAUGGGGGAACCCACUAUCUUUAGUCGGAUAGUAUCCUUACGUGAAUACAUAGCGUGAGGAAGGCAGACCCAGGGAACUGAAACAUCUAAGUACCUGGAGGAAGAGAAAGAAAAAUCGAUUUCCUGAGUAGCGGCGAGCGAAACGGAAAGAGCCCAAACCAAGAAGCUUGCUUCUUGGGGUUGUAGGACACUCUAUACGGAGUUACAAAAGAAAGUUAUAAAUGAAGCGGUCUGGAAAGGCCCGCCAAAGACGGUAACAGCCCGGUAGUUGAAAUAGCUUUCCCUCCAGAGUGGAUCCUGAGUACGGCGGAACACGUGAAAUUCCGUCGGAAUCCGGGAGGACCAUCUCCCAAGGCUAAAUACUCCCUAGUGACCGAUAGUGAACCAGUACCGUGAGGGAAAGGUGAAAAGCACCCCGGAAGGGGAGUGAAACAGUUCCUGAAACCGUGUGCCUACAAGUAGUUAGAGCCCGUUAAUGGGUGAUAGCGUGCCUUUUGUAGAAUGAACCGGCGAGUUACGAUUUGUUGCAAGGUUAAGCGGAAAAAGCGGAGCCGUAGCGAAAGCGAGUCUGAAUAGGGCGCAUAAGUAACAGGUCGUAGACCCGAAACCAGGUGAUCUACCCAUGUCCAGGAUGAAGGUAAGGUAAUACUUACUGGAGGUCCGAACCCACGCACGUUGAAAAGUGCGGGGAUGAGGUGUGGGUAGCGGAGAAAUUCCAAUCGAACUUGGAGAUAGCUGGUUCUCUCCGAAAUAGCUUUAGGGCUAGCCUCGAGGUAAAGAGUCAUGGAGGUAGAGCACUGUUUGGACUAGGGGCCCUUCUCGGGUUACCGAAUUCAGAUAAACUCCGAAUGCCAUGUACUUAUACUCGGGAGUCAGACUGCGAGUGAUAAGAUCCGUAGUCGAAAGGGAAACAGCCCAGACCACCAGUUAAGGUCCCCAAAUAUAUGUUAAGUGGAAAAGGAUGUGGGGUUGCUUAGACAACCAGGAUGUUGGCUUAGAAGCAGCCACCAUUGAAAGAGUGCGUAAUAGCUCACUGGUCGAGUGACCCCGCGCCGAAAAUGUACCGGGGCUAAACAUAUUACCGAAACUGUGGAUGAACCUCUUUAGAGGUUCGUGGUAGGAGAGCGUUCUAAGGGCGGUGAAGUCAGACCGGAAGGACUGGUGGAGCGCUUAGAAGUGAGAAUGCCGGUAUGAGUAGCGAAAGAAGGGUGAGAAUCCCUUCCACCGAAUAUCUAAGGUUUCCUGAGGAAGGCUCGUCCGCUCAGGGUUAGUCGGGACCUAAGCCGAGGCCGAUAGGCGUAGGCGAUGGACAACAGGUAGAGAUUCCUGUACCAGUGCUAAUUGUUUAACCGAUGGGGUGACACAGAAGGAUAGGGAAUCGCACGAAUGGAAAUGUGCGUCCAAGCAGUGAGUGUGAGAAGUAGGCAAAUCCGCUUCUCGCGAAGCAUGAGCUGUGAUGGGGAAGGAAAUUAAGUACGGAAGUUCCUGAUUUCACGCUGUCAAGAAAAGCCUCUAGGAAGAGUAGUACUGCCCGUACCGCAAACCGACACAGGUAGAUGAGGAGAGAAUCCUAAGGUGAGCGAGAGAACUCUCGUUAAGGAACUCGGCAAAAUGACCCCGUAACUUCGGGAGAAGGGGUGCUCUAUUAGGGUGCAAGCCCGAGAGAGCCGCAGUGAAUAGGCCCAGGCGACUGUUUAGCAAAAACACAGGUCUCUGCAAAACCGUAAGGUGACGUAUAGGGGCUGACGCCUGCCCGGUGCUGGAAGGUUAAGAGGAGUGCUUAGCUUCGGCGAAGG
rnacentral:rRNA from 1 species